rnacentral:rRNA from 1 species
AACAUCGCUCUCUGCAUUNCAAUUUUAUCAUAAGAAUAUAUAGAGAGUCGGGCCUGCCCAGUGACAUAUAAUGUUAAACGGCCGCGGUACCCUGACCGUGCAAAGGUAGCAUAAUCAUUUGCCUUUUAAUUGGAGGCUGGUAUGAAUGGCUUGACGAGAGCUGAACUGUCUCUUUUCAAAUUUAUAAAAAUUAGCUUUUAAGUGAAGAGACUUAAAUUUAACUGAGUGACGAAAAGACCCUAUUGAGCUUUAGUAAACUAGUAAAAUAUUGAUUUUUGUGCGCUUAAGUGCAUCUGUAAUUUAUUAGAAAUCUUUAGUUGGGGCGACUUAGGAGUAAAGAAAGCCUCCUUUAUAGUUUUAUUUAAAAAAUCAAGGUAAUCAA